GAGACCGUGUCCGAGUGGUUAUGGAGCUGGUCUCAAGACGAUGUGAUCCAGUAGCGAAAGCUGCGUGGGUUCGAUCCCCACCGGUCUCA